UACGGGGGGGGCAAGCGUUGUUCGGAAUUACUGGGCGUAAAGGGCGCGUAGGCGGCCUGCUAAGUCGGACGUGAAAUCCCUCGGCUCAACCCUGGAAUGCCGGUGGAAACUGUCGAGCUAGAGUCCGGAAGAGGCGAGUGGAAUUCCUGGUGUAGCGGUGAAAUGCGCAGAUAUCAGGAGGAACACCAAUGGCGAAGGCAGCUCGCUGGGACGGUACUGACGCUGAGACGCGAAAGCGUGGGGAGCAAACAGG
rnacentral:rRNA from 1 species